rnacentral:antisense_RNA from 1 species
GCUUUCUCCACGAGUGCAGAUCGUGGGGUCAGCGAGCGUCACCAGGGCGGCAACCCGGGUGGCGCUCUUUCUUUUGCGCUU